GGGGGCGGCCAGCCCCAAGUCCCCCCCGCCUGCACCCCAACCUACACCCAACCUGAACCCCCCACCACUGAUGACCUCCAGUGAGGAGGCAGGAUAAGAGCCCACUACUGCCACCUUUGAAGGGAUCUCCCCCCAACACCCCUGGGCAGGGAGAGGGGAGGGAGCAGGAAUGGGUGUUAGUUGGGGGGCAGGGGCCCAUAUCUGCCUGCUGAGCAGCCAUCAGUGGAUGGCAACAGUAUAGGGGGUAGCAGGGAGGUCCAUACCUGUCUGGUAAGCAGCCGGCAGUGCGUGGCGAUGGCGUAGGGGCGCUGUGGGGCGGGUGAGGUGGGGCGCACCGUGGGGCAGUACCUGGCCGGUGAGCAGCCGGCAGUGCGUGGCGAUGGCGUAGGGGCGCCGUGGGGCAGGUGAGCUGGGGGGCGCCGUGGGGCAGUACCUGGCCGGUGAGCAGCCGGCAGUGCGUGGCGAUGGCGUAGGGGCGCCGUGGGGCGGGUGAG